rnacentral:rRNA from 1 species
UGGGGAAUUUUGGACAAUGGGCGAAAGCCUGAUCCAGCCAUGCCGCGUGCAGGAUGAAGGCCUUCGGGUUGUAAACUGCUUUUGUACGGAACGAAAAGCCUCUUUCUAAUAAAGAGAGGUCAUGACGGUACCGUAAGAAUAAGCACCGGCUAACUACGUGCCAGCAGCCGCGGUAAUACGUAGGGUGCAAGCGUUAAUCAGAAUUACUGGGCGUAAAGCGUGCGCAGGCGGUUUUGUAAGACAGAGGUGAAAUCCCCGGGCUCAACCUGGGAACUGCCUUUGUGACUGCAAGGCUGGAGUGCGGCAGAGGGGGGAUGGAAUUCCGCGUGUAGCAGUGAAAUGCGUAGAUAUGCGGAGGAACACCGAUGGCGAAGGCAAUCCCCCUGGGCCUGCACUGACGCUCAUGCACGAAAGCGUGGGGAGCAAACAGGAUUAGAUACCCUGGUAGUCCACGCCCUAAACGAUGUCAACUGGUUGUUGGGUCUUCACUGACUCAGUAACGAAGCUAACGCGUGAGGUUGACCGCCUGGGGAGUACGGCCGCAAGGUUGAAACUUAAAGGAAUUGACGGGGUCAUAGCUGUUUCCU